UUAGAGUUUGAUCCUGGCUCAGGAUGAACGCUAGCGGCAGGCCUAAUACAUGCAAGUCGAACGGUAAAUGCCCUUUCGGGGGUAUGAGAGUGGCGCACGGGUGCGUAACGCGUAUGCAACCCACCCGCUGCCGGGGGAUAGCCCGGAGAAAUCCGGAUUAAUACCCCAUGAGGAGCGAGGAAGGCAUCUUCCACGUUUCAAAACUUCGGUGGCGGCGGACGGGCAUGCGUGCCAUUAGAUAGUUGGCGGGGUAACGGCCCACCAAGUCGACGAUGGCUAGGGGAUCUGAGAGGACGGUCCCCCACACUGGUACUGAGACACGGACCAGACUCCUACGGGAGGCAGCAGUAAGGGAUAUUGGUCAAUGGGGGGAACCCUGAACCAGCCAUGCCGCGUGAGGGAAUAAGGCCCUACGGGUCGUAACCUCUUUUGCCGGGGGAUAAGGACGGGAACGUGUUCCCGUUUGAAGGUACCCGGAGAAUAAGCAUCGGCUAACUCCGUGCCAGCAGCCGCGGUAAUACGGAGGAUGCGAGCGUUAUCCGGAUUUAUUGGGUUUAAAGGGUGCGCAGGCGGGCGAUUAAGUCAGCGGUGAAAGGCUCGGGCUCAACCGGAGCAGUGCCGUUGAUACUGGUUGUCUUGAAUGCGGUCAAGGCCGGCGGAAUGUGGCGUGUAGCGGUGAAAUGCAUAGAUAUGCCACAGAACACCGAUAGCGAAGGCAGCUGGCCGGGCCUGCAUUGACGCUCAGGCACGAAAGCGUGGGGAUCGAACAGGAUUAGAUACCCUGGUAGUCCACACAGUAAACGAUGAUAACUCGCUGUCGGCGAUAUAAUGUCGGUAGUCAAGAGAAAUCGAUAAGUUAUCCACCUGGGGAGUACGACCGCAAGGUUGAAACUCAAAGGAAUUGACGGGGGCCCGCACAAGCGGAGGAACAUGUGGUUUAAUUCGAUGAUACGCGAGGAACCUUACCCGGGCUCGAACGGUGCCUGCAUAUGGAAGAGAUUUCAUAGCUAGCAAUAGCGGGUAUCGAGGUGCUGCAUGGUUGUCGUCAGCUCGUGCCGUGAGGUGUCGGCUUAAGUGCCAUAACGAACGCAACCCUUAUCUUCAGUUACCAUCAGGUAAGGCUGGGGACUCUGGAGAUACUGCCACCGUAAGGUGAGAGGAAGGUGGGGAUGACGUCAAAUCAGCAAGGCCCUUACGUCCGGGGCGACACACGUGUUACAAUGGUCGGUACAGAGGGGAGCUACACUGAGAAGUGAUGCGAAUCUCGAAAGCCGAUCUCAGUUCGGAUUGGAGUCUGCAACUCGACUCCAUGAAGUUGGAUUCGCUAGUAAUCGCGCAUCAGCCAUGGCGCGGUGAAUACGUUCCCGGGCCUUGCACACACCGCCCGUCA
rnacentral:rRNA from 1 species